AAUGCACCAAUUUGUAAGUCGCUCUGGAUAAGAGCGUCUUCUAAAUGACGUAAA
rfam:Salmo salar isolate Sally breed double haploid chromosome ssa26, whole genome shotgun sequence.